GUCACUAACAGAGUUAUGCCUUUGGUUUUCACAUAAAACUUAGCACUGUCAGAGUGCUGUAACAGACCCAGUUGAAUGUGUCUUUCUAAAAAAAAGAGGAGUUAGCAGAAGUCCCACUGAAAUGUUCACUUGUGUUUGUGUGUGUGCAAGUGCCUGUUUAAGUUGCUUUUCCAACCAAACGUCUCAGGACAUAAGGGGCACUUAUGCGGUUGAUCGCAUUCGUGCAUGUGCAGGUGAUCUCUCAAUGUGGACCUUCGAGGGAAGCUCUGGGAACACAGGUGGCACUUGUGUGGCCGCUCCUGUCUAUGGGCACGCAGGUGACGUACCAAAAUGGAUCUUUGUGAAAAGCUCUGAGGGCAGAGGUGGCACUUAAAAGACCGCUCGCCUGUAUGAAUGUUGACGUGUUCUUUCAGAUUGUACACUUUCUUAAAUUCUUUGUUACAGAAACUGCAGUGGUAGCGGUGCUCGUGCUGCGACUUGGCACCAUCCUUUGCUGCAGGUUA